rnacentral:rRNA from 1 species
UACGAAGGGGGCGAGCGUUGUUCGGAAUUACUGGGCGUAAAGCGCACGUAGGCGGAUAUUUAAGUCAGGGGUGAAAUCCCGCAGCUCAACUGCGGAACUGCCUUUGAUACUGGGUAUCUUGAGUAUGGAAGAGGUAAGUGGAAUUCCGAGUGUAGAGGUGAAAUGCGUAGAUAUCAUUUGGAACGCCAAUGGUGAAAACAGGUAGCUGGGAGUGUGCUGACACUGAGACACGAAAGCCAGGGGAGCGAACGGG